rnacentral:rRNA from 1 species
UACGUAGGGUGCAAGCGUUAAUCGGAAUUACUGGGCGUAAAGCGUGCGCAGGCGGUUAUGUAAGACAGAUGUGAAAUCCCCGGGCUCAACCUGGGAACUGCAUUUGUGACUGCAUAGCUAGAGUACGGUAGAGGGGGAUGGAAUUCCGCGUGUAGCAGUGAAAUGCGUAGAUAUGCGGAGGAACACCGAUGGCGAAGGCAAUCCCCUGGACCUGUACUGACGCUCAUGCACGAAAGCGUGGGGGAGCAAACAGGAUUA